rnacentral:misc_RNA from 1 species
AACCAGGCGAGCUUAACGAGC